CAUGAAAAUACGGAUUUUUUGUGUUAAUAAAAUUUGCUGUUACAAAAUGAUAGAAAUUAUUAUAAAUUAAGGAAUGUAUCUUCCUCAUGCAAAGCUCUGAUUCCUUUCACGGAUUUGGCUAUACUGUUUGGACCUUUUGGAUUAUAGCUCUUCAUCUUUUAUAUAAGCUUUGGAUUUCAAAUAUUUUGGCCACGAGCAUCACUGAAGAGACAUGUAUUGUCGAAAUGCGCAUCUGGUGCAAGAAAAUUGGUACCGUUAAUUUUAUUA
rnacentral:lncRNA from 1 species